rfam:Trichoplax adhaerens TRIADscaffold_2 genomic scaffold, whole genome shotgun sequence.
ACAACGGCUUUUUUCAAAGCCACAUUUUUAUCGAAAGUCAAUUUAU